AACAGUUCUAUACUUUAAAUAAAAGACUUGAUUUGCAAUCAAUCAUUGAGUUCCCAUACCACUCUAGAA
rnacentral:tRNA from 1 species